rnacentral:lncRNA from 1 species
UGACUCAGAAGAGAUAAGACUAGAGGCAGAGAUACUAGCUAAGAAGCUGUUGCAACAAUGAAAGAAGAAAUGAUGAGAACCUAAACUAAGGCAAUACUAAUAGAAGCAAAGAGAAGGGAAGAGAUUUCACAAGUUUAUAAGAAGAAAGUGGUAGGACUUGAAAGUUAAUUGGAUGUAAAGACCAAAGCAAGGGGCAGUCAAGGAUGGCUCCUGGAUUUCUGGCUUGAGAGACUAGGUGGAUGAAAGAGCAGAUGAGAACACCAAAGACAGAAUAUAUGGUUCUUCUAGAAGAUCCACUUUCAAUUUUACUAAAGUGAAUGACCCACUUUGAUGAAAAGAAUAAUGACUUCUAAGGUCUCUUACAACUCUAAUGUUACAAUUCUAUUGUUCCAUCUGGAAUUGCCUUUUGAAGACAGCACACCUGUGGCCUAAAACUUCCUUGGUGAACAUGUGAAAUAUUUUUUAAUGAAAGCCCAUUACAUAUAAAGCCAUACAACCCCAAACAUGCAGUGAUAAUGCUUAUAGCAAAGAAAAACCAAGUAAAGACACUAUCUACAUUUACCUACUCUGAUCCCAAUUGGCUGCAAACAGCAAAAGAAUCUUCCUGCCGUAAUGGUCUCGGUUUUCCAGCACCCCGGGGAACCCAUCGAUCAGAGCCCUCUUAAUGCCGGGAUCAUCUGCCUUGAAGUUUUUGAACAUGUCCAGGUUUAGCUGGCGGUACUGGAAAUACUGAGCCAGGAGUCUAAAGGCAUCCGCUUGGUGAAACUUCCUGGCUCGGAGAAAUCUCAGGAUGAAGGCAUCAUCUGGAUCCUGCAAUAGACAGAAGAAAGAUAAUUCCCUGGGAAGUGCUGAGCAGAUCCAUGUAACCGUGACCCUUCUUCUGGAUGUGAUUGCACAGACAAUGGCAGCAGUGGGAAUCACAGCUAAGAAAACUGCCUGGGAAAAGUAAAACACAUCAGCAAGCUUAAGGGGUGGUCCAUGCAUCAGCAGUGGCAGCAGAACCCAGGACCUUGUUAGUGACACAGCAUGUCAGGACUCACUUAGACCUACUGAACAGCUGGCAUCAAGACUUUUAUAUUGGAGGAGCCAAGAUGGCCGAAUAGGAACAGCUCCGGUCUACAGCUCCCAGCGUGAGCGACGCAGAAGAGGGUGAUUUCUGCAUUUCCAUCUGAGAAACCCCAAUUCCCACCAACUUCAGAUCUCCAUUCCUACCAACUUCAGCUCUGCUGGUAUGUGGACAUCAGAGAAGGGGGAACUGGAAACUGAACUCUGACCAUAUCAUUCUGUGUUCUAAAUGUCUUCCUGAGGGGCCUGGAGGAAGUUACACUCACAAGCCAGAGCUAACAUUCUUUUCUGCUGACCCCAAAUUUUAAAAUAAAGCUUCUCUUCCUUAACCAAUUGCAAUUCAAAAAAUCUUUGAAUCUGACUACGGUCUGUAAGCC